rnacentral:sRNA from 12 species
GUCAAUCACCCCGGCCUAAAGGUCGGAGCUUGUUGGAGCACUCACAAGCUCGAGGUUGACCAGACCUAGCGCUGGAAGGCGCUACGUUGUGCGGAGACAGCAGACCCACCGUUGAAUGCUUCCUCAGUUCGACGCUCUGGA